ACUUUAAUAGUAUAAUUAAUACAUCACAUUUUCAAUGUGAAGAUAGAAUACAUUCUUUAAAGUU
rnacentral:tRNA from 1 species